CCUACGGGUGGCAGCAGUGAGGAAUAUUGGUCAAUGGGCGGGAGCCUGAACCAGCCAAGUCGCGUGAGGGAAGAAGGUACUGAGUAUUGUAAGCCUCUUUUGCCAGGGGCCAAAGGCGGCCACGGGUGGCCGUAAGAGGUUACCUGGAAAAAAAGCAUCGGCUAACUCCGUGCCAGCAGCCGCGGUAAUACGGAGGAUGCGAGCGUUAUCCGGAUUUAUUGGGUUUAAAGGGGGCGCAGGCGGCGUGUCAAGUCAGCGGUAAAAUGUCGGGGUUAAACCCCGGACAGCGGUUGAAACUGGCGGGCUCGAGUUGGAGAGAGGUAUGCGGAAUUCGUGGUGUAGCGGUGAAAUGCAUAGAUAUCACGAAGAACCCCGAUUGCGAAGGCAGCAUACUGGCUCCACACUGACGCUGAGGCACGAAAGCGUGGGUAUCGAACAGGAUUAGAUACCCUAGUAGUC
rnacentral:rRNA from 1 species